AGCUUGCCCCAUUUUCUCAGGUUGCCAGCAGCUGAAUAAACCUCUUUCCUUCCUGACGACCACCUGUCUCACAGGAUAGGUUUCUGGGGUCUGAUAGGGGGAAGGAGAGACCGGUCACAGAAGAAAGGAGCAAAGAAGAGUGUUUUGCCUUCAGAGAAAGAAGAACAGGAUCGAAGUACUGAGAGGCUCUGAGAAGCUGUGGCUGUUGCUCUUUGGACCACGGAGGGGUCAUGGCUGAGCUCCCAUCAAAGGUGCACCUCAACUCGCACCCCAUUUGCCUGAGGAUCCAUGGGCCCUGGGUGUAUGAGGACGAGAACCAGCGUACAUGGCUUCAUCUGUUUAUGGAGACAGGAGGUGUCCUGCAAGUACUGUUGCGCCAGGAAGACAUCC